UACGAAGGAUGCAAGCGUUAUCCGGAUUCAUUGGGUUUAAAGGGAGCGUAGGCGGCCUUGUAAGUCAGUGGUGAAAUCUCGCAGCUUAACUGCGAAACUGCCAUUGAUACUGCAGGGCUUGAGUACAGAUGCUGUGGGCGGAAUAUGACAUGUAGUGGUGAAAUACAUAGAGAUGUCAUAGAACACCGAUUGCGAAGGCAGCUCACAAAACUGUAACUGACGCUGAGGCUCGAAAGUGUGGGGAUCAAACAGG
rnacentral:rRNA from 1 species